AUGAGCGAGUUUUAAAUAUUUAAUAUUUUUGAUUGAGUUGAGAACUAACUUGGGAUAGAACAUUAGAAGGAUUUCUUUGUAAACAUAAUGGCUUAGUUAAUAAUAAAUGUCAUUUUGAUAUUUUGGAAAGAUUUGUUUGAAAAGUGUUGUUGUGGGGAUUUUUAUAUGCUGUAGCUUUCUCGAUGGUGGUAAAUACUGAGCAUGAUUUGAUCGUGAAUGCUUAUAUUUGUAAGCAAAAAGCAGAAUCGAUUGAAUUAUACGAUUAUGCAUCUUCAGGUGUUGACGAUUGUAAAAGCCCUGGGAAUCCCUCUUUUGAUAUAGUCUACGCGAAUCAAUCAGCCGUCCAAAAACGCACUGAGAAUCAACAGAAUUUAGUGGAUAUCCCCAUCGUUGUGACGGCCUGGGAAGGAGCAAUGGACCAAUCAAAAAACAAGGAAGAAAGCAAGAGGUUGAUGAGCAAAUUAUCGAGCGCGUCAGCUGAGGGAAGUGAUGUUGAAUUAAGUGACUUUCCAAGCGAUACAGAACACGAUGAUGUCAGCAAGAGAAAAUUAUUAAGUAAGAAAAAAAUAGAAAAAGACAAUGGAGAGCUGCAUAGUUUGUCCAGUUUAGAGGAUGAGCAGCCAACGUUUGCGUCGUCAAAAUUAGUCAUCACUGAACAUUCCUGCACAAAAAAAGCGAAAAAAGAAGGGGAAACCGCAGUUUUAACAAACCCGUACUCUCUACACACAAGAAACGAAGUUGGUAAUGACGAAGGCGAUAGUGAAGACAUAAAGAUAUCCACGGAGGAGGGUAGUACAUCGCACACGAGCCGUGAAACUGACCAAGAAACUAUAUCCACCUUUACAAAUGUUAACAACACACCGGAAAUCUAUAAUGGCUUCCAUACACCUACACAAUCUAAAUCGAGGUCAAACUCCAACACAAGCGAGGAGCAUGAAGCGAUUGAGUUGCUUCCAAAACAUGCUGUCCCGCAGAAUGUAAGAGAGGAAGGACAAGUUACCAAUGCAAUGGAAAACGACGACGACAAUAAAUCCGACACGUCAGAGUUCCUUGGCUCACUUGGUAUAGAUGUUGACACGGGAGACUGGUUUAGUGACAUCAAUGUGCAGCUUGAUUUGCAACUUGGUCGAGACGAAUGGGAAACAAAACUACCUGAAGUGGAAGGGGAGGCAACAUUAGAGGAUUGGGAAACAACUAUCUUGGAUAUCGCAGAUAGUAAAGCAAGCAAGGAAGACUGGACAACAUCGUUUCAAGAUAUCUCCAAUCUCGAUCACAAAGAAGAUCGAGAAAAAUGGAGUUCAGUUAUACCUGAAAAAUUUGUAAACACAGAGACGCCUCGACAUUGGUCGACAAAAUUACCAGAGAUCGAAAAAAUCGACCAAUCAGGUAACAGGUGGAGUACUUUUUUUAAUAAAAUCCGUGAGAAUGUCACCAAUAAGAACGAAUGGAAGACGAAAUUCAAUACUAUUGGUAAAAAUACUGUGAAUAAGGAUGAGUGGACAUUUAAAUUGCCCAGUGAAUUCACAUCCCGUGCCAGUAAAAGAGACUGGAGGACAAAAAUUAAUAAAACAGGUGAUGUCACAAGCUCGUUGGACAAAUGGAAGUACCGGUCUAAUGAAAUGCUUGUGACGUCAGAUGACCGGGCGACACAUUGGAACACGGCGUUUAAAAACAUCGGAAAACACGUCGAAGAUAUAAACGAGUGGAAGACGAGACUUUCAAAAAUUUCGCCUUUAUUUGAAGAAGGUACGUGGAGUUUUCAUUUUGCGGACUGUUCUGACGAUAUAGGUUCUCCAGAGGAUUGGAAUGUAAAAUUUAUAGACAUUAAAAAAAACGAAAAUGAGGAUUUGAACUGGUCCAUAAAAAUGAACGAUGUACCUAAUAGUUACAGUGAAGUAGAAGACUGGGAGACAUCGUUUAAAGAUAUCGAAAAAGUCGAUGCGCAAAAGAAUCCUUGGGAUACAAAAUUUAAUGAUAUUUUACCGAAUGGCAACGAGUCAGCAUUAUGGACGAAUAAAUUUUCAACGACAGAUAUUACUGACAUGAACCGUGAAACCUGGGAAAGUAGUUUUAAUGAUAUUUUACCGAACGAAAACACAGAACUAGACUGGGAAGUUAGUGUACAUGCUAUUGAACCUUUAGUUUCUUGAUAAAGGAUUUCAUAGGUGUAGUUGGAGUUUUAGCUGCCUACUGAUGUAUUUCCUUUACGGCUCAUCACAUACCAUUUCGGAUAUAUUUGUUGAAGAAUUUACCAUAUGUGUCUCAUUAACUCAAAUAGUGAUAACAGCUCACUACCAAGGAUCGGAUACUCGAGAUUCAGUUCGGCUGACAUAAAGUUGGCAUCAGAGAAGAAUGCAAGACAAGAAAAGAACAUGUUUUUAUUAACCCUCGGGUGACUAUGGGAGAGAAAGUGCUGGUUUGGUAUGUUGUGUAAUGUGAUAGCAUAUGAAAAAGGUGGGACCUGAAAUGCAGGGACGCAGGGCAAAUUUUUAAAUUUAAAAUAAUACGAAGACGGACUAGAAUGCUGCAAACGUAAACAUGGCAUGUGAGGUACUUUUACAGUAUGAAAUGUUGGGUUAUAUCUGAAAAAGAUUGUUAAAGAUACGAUAGUAUCAAUAAAUUUACAUCAAUGUUAAAACGGCGAAAUAUUUUACCGAAGAACAAGCAAACUGGAA